rnacentral:lncRNA from 1 species
GAGUUACCCUCAUUCUUCGCGACCGGAGAAGAUCGGCCUUCAAUCAAUCAGAGAAAACCCUAGGUACAAAACCCUACGUGCAACCGUCAAAAAAUUUACUGGAAAUAUGGUCAGGGAUGUCGGAAAGUCAUCCAAAACAUCCACUGAGUGAGGAUCGAGCCAUCGGAUAGCAGUUAAACUCUAGGUUCAACCACCAGAAACCCUAGAAGCUGAUAAGUCACCGAAAAAUCACCCAAAAAUCAUCGGAAAAUCUCUCAGAACGUUCGAGUGAAGAAAAUACACUCAGAUAUCACGAUGAAAAACUCAGAAAGGCAUCCGAUCUAGAUCGGACCUCUCAAAACGUUUGAGUGAAGAAAAUACACUCAGAUAUCACGAUGAAAAACUCAGAAAGGCAUACGAUCUAGAUCGGAAUCGUCAUCGACCACAAAGUCUCAGAAAUACCCCCAAAAAUCUCAAAGGAGACUUCAACCAAGAC